GUGCUCACUUCAGCAGUACAUAUACUAAAAUAUUGAAAUGAUACAGAGAAGAUUAGUGUGACCUCUGCACUAGGAUGAUACACAAAUUCAGAAAUCACUCCU